UGGGGAAUUUUGGACAAUGGGCGAAAGCCUGAUCCAGCAAUGCCGCGUGUGUGAAGAAGGCCUUCGGGUUGUAAAGCACUUUUGUCCGGAAAGAAAUCCUUGGCUCUAAUACAGUCGGGGGAUGACGGUACCGGAAGAAUAAGCACCGGCUAACUACGUGCCAGCAGCCGCGGUAAUACGUAGGGUGCAAGCGUUAAUCGGAAUUACUGGGCGUAAAGCGUGCGCAGGCGGUUUGCUAAGACCGAUGUGAAAUCCCCGGGCUCAACCUGGGAACUGCAUUGGUGACUGGCAGGCUAGAGUAUGGCAGAGGGGGGUAGAAUUCCACGUGUAGCAGUGAAAUGCGUAGAGAUGUGGAGGAAUACCGAUGGCGAAGGCAGCCCCCUGGGCCAAAUACUGACGCUCAUGCACGAAAGCGUGGGGAGCAAACAGGAUUAGAUACCCUGGUAGUCCACGCCCUAAACGAUGUCAACUAGUUGUUGGGGAUUCAUUUCCUUAGUAACGUAGCUAACGCGUGAAGUUGACCGCCUGGGGAGUACGGUCGCAAGAUUAAAACUUAAAGGAAUUGACGGGG
rnacentral:rRNA from 1 species